rnacentral:rRNA from 1 species
AGAGUUUGAUCAUGGCUCAGGAUGAACGCUGGCGGCGUGGAUAAGGCAUGCAAGUCAAGGGGGCUCGCAAGAGCAACCGGCAGACGAGGUAGUAAUAAGUAGGUACGUCCCUCAAAGUCAGGCAUAGCUCGUCGAAAGACGGGGUAAUUCCUGAUAGUCCCUCCGGGGUAAAGAUUUAUCGCUUUGAGAACGGCCUGCUCGGUAUCAGCUAGUUGGUAAGGUAACGGCUUACCAAGGCUAUGACGCCUAGGGGACCUGAGAGGGUGACCCCCACCGAUGGAACUGAGAUACGGUCCAUACACCUACGGGUGGCUGCAGUCGUGAAUCUUCCACAAUGGACGAAAGUCUGAUGGAGCGACGCCGCGUGCAGGAUGAAGUGCUUCGGCAUGUAAACUGCUUUUAUAGGGGAGGAAGUUUAUUGACGUUACCCUAAGAAUAAGAGGUUGCUAAACUCGUGCCAGCAGCAGCGGUAAUACGAGUGCCUCAAGCGUUAUCCGGAAUUACUGGGCGUAAAGGGUGCGUAGGUGGUCUUAUUAGUCUUGUGUUAAAUUCUUCGGCUUAACCGGGGGCAUGCACAGGAAACGGUAAGACUUGAGGAUACGAGGGGUCCGUGGAAUUCUAGGUGUAGCGGUGAAAUGCGUUGAUAUCUAGGAGAACACCAAAAGCGAAGGCAGCGGACUGGAGUACUCCUGACACUGAGGCACGAAAGCGUGGGUAGCGAAUGGGAUUAGAUACCCCAGUAGUCCACGCCCUAAACGAUGAUUGUUUGUUUUUUGGAGUAUCGACCCUUCAAGAGACGAAGCUAACGCGAUAAACAAUCCGCCUGGGUAGUACGACCGCAAGGUUAAAACUCAAAGGAAUAGACGGGGACUUGCACAAGCGGAGGAACAUGUGGUUCAAUUCGACGGUAAACGAAAAACCUUACCAGGGUUAGAAAUCUAGUUGAAGACUAGCAGAAACGUUAGUCGUCGCAAGACAAUUAGACAGGUGCUGCAUGGUCGUCGUCAGUUCGUGGCUUGAGUUGUUCCCUUCAGUGGGGUAACGAACGCAACCCUCGUUGUCUGUUAUAAGUAUCAGACGAGACUGCCCCCUUUCCGGGGGAGGAAGGUGAGGAUGACGCCAGAUCAGCAUGGCCCUUUGAUACCCUGGGCUACACACGUGUUACAGUGCCGACCACAACGGGAUGCGACGGGGAAACCCCGAGCCAACCCUCAGAAAAGUCGGCUAAGUUCGGAUAGGGGUCUGCAACUCGACACCCUUGAAGCUGGAUUCGCUAGUAAUCUCGGAUCAGCAAUGCCGAGGUGAAUACGUUCUCAAGUCUUGUACUCACCGCCCGUCAACCCAAGGGAGCUGGGAGUACCCGAAGUCUGCGUUUAUCGCGGCCUAAGGUAAGCUCAGUGACAGGGGGUAAGUCGUAACAAGGUAACC